CAGAUGCCACACCAAUUAUAAAGAAGAGAAUGCAGAAGGGGAAUCUAACUUCUGCCACCCUGAAAUUACCCUGAUCACUUAAAAUUCGUGUAGAAACAAACAACAUCCUGAAAGGAAUCCUUUUAAGAUACCAUAAGGACUUCCCUGGUGGCACAGUGGUUGGGAAUCCACCUGCCAAUGCAGGAGACACGGGCUCGACCCCUGGUCUGGGAAGAUCCCACAUUCCACGGAGCAACUAACCCUGUGCGCCACAACUACUGAGCCUGCAUGCCUAGAGCCGUGCUC